rnacentral:rRNA from 1 species
UUGCCUCAGUAACGGCGAGUGAAGCGGCAACAGCUCAAAUUUUAAAGCUGGCGUCUUCGACGCCCGCGUUGUAAUUUGGAGAGGCAUCUUCGGUUUGGGCGCCAGCCUAUGUUCCUUGGAACAGGACGUCACAGAGGGUGAGAAUCCCGUGCUUGGCUGGCUGUCCCUUUCCAUGUGAAGUGUCUUCGACGAGUCGAGUUGUUUGGGAAUGCAGCUCAAAAUGGGUGGUAAAUUCCAUCUAAAGCUAAAUAUUGGCGGGAGACCGAUAGCGCACAAGUAGAGUGAUCGAAAGAUGAAAAGCACUUUGAAAAUAGAGUUAAAAAGUACGUGAAAUUGUUGAAAGGGAAGCGCUUGAGACCAGACUCGGCCGGAGAUGAUCAGCCGUCCUUCUGGGCGGUGCACUUGUCUCCGGUCGGGCCAGCAUCGGUUGAGACGGCGGGAUAAAGGCCCGGGGAAUGUGGCUCCUUUCGGGGAGUGUUAUAGCCUCGGGCGCAAUGCCGCCAGCCUCGACCGAGGACCGCGCUUUUUGCUAGGAUGCUGGCGUAAUGGUCUUCAGCGACCCGUCUUGAAACACGGACCAAGGAGUCUAACAUCUAUGCGAGUGUUUGGGUGUCAAACCCUUGCGCGUAAUGAAAGUGAACGGAGGUGGGAACCCCUCACGGGGCGCACCAUCGACCGGUCCUGAUGUCUUCGGAUGGAUCUGAGUAGGAGCAUAGCUGUUGGGACCCGAAAGAUGGUGAACUAUGCCUGAAUAGGGUGAAGCCAGAGGAAACUCUGGUGGAGGCUCGCAGCGGUUCUGACGUGCAAAUCGAUCGUCAAAUUUGGGUAUAGGGGCGAAAGACUAAUCGACCAUCUAGUACCUGGUUCCUG